AGCAGCCGCGGUAAUUCCAGCUCCAAUAGCGUAUAUUAAAGUUGUUGCAGUUAAAAAGCUCGUAGUUGAAUUUCGGGGUCAGCAGGUUGGUCGUGCCACUGGUAUGUACUGGCUUUGCUGAUUCCUCCUUCUUGUAGAACCGUAAUGCCAUUAAUUUGGUGUUGCGGGGAAACAGGACUGUUACUUUGAAAAAAUUAGAGUGUUUAAAGCAGGCUAACGCUUGAAUACAUUAGCAUGGAAUAAUGAAAUAGGACGAGCGAUCCUAUUUUGUUGGUUUCUAGGAUUGACGUAAUGAUUAAUAGGGAUAGUUGGGGGCAUUAGUAUUCAAUUGUCAGAGGUGAAAUUCUUGGAUUUAUUGAAGACUAACUACUGCGAAAGCAUUUGCCAAGGAUGUUUUCAUUAAUCAAGAACGAAAGUUAGGGGAUCGAAGACGAUCAGAUACCGUCGUAGUCUUAACCAUAAACUAUGCCGACUAGGGAUCGGAUGAUGUUAAUUUAUAAUGACUCAUUCGGCUACCG
rnacentral:rRNA from 1 species